rnacentral:misc_RNA from 1 species
CAACACGAGCGCACCUGUUUCUGUCGCCUGCUCGCAUCAAAAGAAAUGCUGCAUGAGGUUAACGUCGGCACGUCCGACAUCGUCCGCGGCGGCCAUGACGACGACGAGGCAGCCACGCAACGGCAGCCACCCGCACUCUCGGUGGUGGAGGAACAUAUGCAGCGCAUACGGCUCGAACUGUGUGGGCAGCGCCACCCACCCAGUGGAUACGCUUCAGGCAUUGCGAUCCCUUCCACCGCCGCCGGGCUGGAUCGCGUCGCGGUACUGGUCGAUCUGCUAGACCAGGUGCGCUACUGGGCCAUCGAGGAGGCAUCCACCUUCAAGGACGAGCCAAGUCGCCUCGCAGAGACGGAGGCUCCUGAAGCGGUGGUCGCAUGUCUGUGCAGCCAGCGGCCGCAGCUCGUGGCCCAGGCACUGCGUGUGGUGCAGCCCAUGCUGCGACACCGCCAAACGGCAUACAAAACACGCCGUGUGAUGGUCGACGUCUGGGCGUACCGGGAGCAGGUGAACUCGAUGGUGCCGCUGCCGGAGGGGCUGGAUCCACUGCUUGUCAUGCUGGCGGAGGUCUUGGAGCAGCACAAGGGCGUGUUGCCAGUGCUUGUCGAAGCACUUUCCGCCGCGACCGCAGCGCUGGUGCAGGACGUGACCGUGUGCGUAGGCAGCGACAACGGCGACGAUGAUAAUUUGGACGGCGGCGUGUCGCUGCGCCGUUGCGUUGCACCUCUGGUUGUCGCCCUUCAUGAGACCACUUUAGUGUACCAGAUGGAGUCCGCCAUGCGGCGUCACCCAGACGCGGUGCCGCUGCAGGUGGAGGGCGUAUCCUUCUGUGCCGCCCUGGUGGACCUUCCGUGGCCCUUCGAGGCAGAGGUCGAUAGCGAAGAAGGCACCCCCACAUCCCUCGCUGACAUUGUCGCCCACAGCGACGGCGUGCUUGAUGUGCUGCAGGGCGCCCUUCGCCGCCACCGUCAGAACUUGCGCAUUGCUCGCGGUGUGCUGCAUGUGUGGCGUGUGUGCGCGCAGCACCCGGCAAAUCGUGUACCGCUUCUUCAGCACGGCGCAUACGCCGGCGCGCUGCAGCAGCUGCGUGAGGUGGGGCCGUACACGGUGGGCGUGUGGCGGGAGAUUGCAGAGACCGUUGGCUACUUCAUCCCGCUGCUGGAUACCCUUCAGCGGCGCUCAUUAGCCCUGACGCUGCGCGAGUUGCUGCUGCGCCGCCCGCAGCUUGAGGUGCUGGAGCUCAUUUUGGCGCUGCUUCUGUCGCUGCUCAUGGUCGUGGACAGUGGACACCAUGGCGGAGGUGGCAAGAGUGGUGGCGCGUUCAACAUGUACGCCAUGUACCCUCAGCCGCCCGCAGCUGCGCCGUCACCCAGCGCCACCGACAUUGCCGGCGAGCCGCACCACCGUGGGACGAAAGCCGUGCUGCGCUUCAGCCUGCUUCAGUGGCAUCCCAUGCGCGGUCACCACCCGUACAGCGGCGCAUCGGUCGCGGGGGAAGAUACGUGGCACUUCCUCCUAGAGCGUUGCGCGAUGCCGCAGCUGGUGAGUGGACUGCUCGAGUACUUCGGCCACUGUGAGGCGGUAGACGAGGAGGAUGCAUCCGACUUGGACCGUGUGUGCCGCUUAGCCGAGGCGGUCCUCGGCUUCUUCUGAAGCCCCUCUCCUCCCUCUCUCCCUUCCACCGUGCCAGUUGCCCCCAAGUCAACCAAAGGCGCCUGGAGAGGGGCGAGGGGGAGCGGUUGGGGCCGCGUCAUGUACAGCUGGUCACUCGUGGCCACUCACGCGCUCGCACAGGACCCAUUAUCGAGAGCCGAGGCACGUCCCCUCGCCUUAGAAUGUAUGGGCGAGGCAUGUCAGCCCCGCAAUCAUCGUGACGGCUCUUAAAGAGCGCGCCAUGUGCGCGGCGGUCUCGCGUUACUGCGGCACGCCUCGCACGCGUGCAGAGAUGAAGGCUAGCACACGCACGCACACUCACACAGAAGACACCGAUGUACAUGCCGUCGUACGGCGGCGCCGUAGCGGUGGGGAGGACGCGCGCCGAGCCAUGCGCACGCACGUGUUUUCACUCCUCCGGCGGAUUCUGUUUCUUGCUUAGGCGCCUCAGCUCGCCCUCUGGCGGCAUGCCCGCACUCGCCCAAUUCACUCCGCCUUUUCUCCGCCACAUGCUCCACCAG